AGAUUGAACGCUGGCGGCGUGCUUAACACAUGCAAGUCGAGCGGUAACGCGGGAGCAAUCCUGGCGACGAGCGGCGAACGGGUGAGUAAUGCUUGGGAAUCUGCCCAUUAGUGGGGAACAACCAGCCGAAAGGUUGGCUAAUACCGCAUACGCCCUACGGGGGAAAGCGGGGGCUCGUAAGACCUCGCGCUAAUGGAUGAGCCCAAGUCGGAUUAGCUUGUUGGUAGGGUAACGGCCUACCAAGGCGACAAUCCGUAGCUGGUCUGAGAGGACGACCAGCCACGCUGGGACUGAGACACGGCCCAGACUCCUACGGGAGGCAGCAGUGGGGAAUAUUGGACAAUGGGCGCAAGCCUGAUCCAGCCAUGCCGCGUGGAUGAUGAAGGCCCUAGGGUUGUAAAGUCCUUUUAACGGGGAGAUAAUGACGGUACCGUAGAAUAAGCCCGGCUAACUUCGUGCCAGCAGCCGC
rnacentral:rRNA from 1 species